rnacentral:lncRNA from 1 species
GAAGUUCGUUCUCCAUCUCCUUCGACUUUUUUGUUAAAUGACGAACUCUCUUCCUCAGAUGUUGGAUCGUGGACUUCAGUGGAACUCCCUGUGGCAAGGGAAGCACUUCGACAGGAUGCUGCCAUCGGGGGACAAAAGCAUCAAGGCGCGACUCAUUGCAGAAAGAAAAAAGAAAAGAGUAGAGAAACCCCCCAUAAGGAGAAACCCAAUUUUAU